AAUAAGGCGCAGGUGACAGGAAUCUGGAGCAUUAACCACCUAGGUGACACAGGUUCAAAGGACUGUAGAGCACUGAGGAAACUGAACAGGUGCCAACUGUGCGCUGGUAGUAUCUGUGGGCAAAGAGGGUUGUUUCAACCAAACAGCUGAUAGGUAGGGCCACAGCUUGAGGUAAAAACAGCCUUUGGAGAAUAGUGCAGAUAAAGGGGCGCAGAAGCAGUUUGCAAAUGAAGCGUCCGAAAAUAAGGAAGAUGCCUUGAAGUUUUAUGUUUGGAGGACUGGCUAGGAACGCCUAGGAAGGAAGGUAAGCUGGAAUGAAGUUUUCUCCAGUUUCUUUUCCAGCUGAUCGAUCCUGCCACACUCGGUAUUUCCACGAGGAAUCAAUACCAGUCAUUCCCAAACCCACUGGUGAAGCCACUUUCAUCAGGUCGAGCGCCUGGAGGCUGCCCUCCGUUGCAGAAUGGAAGAGAGGCCGGCGCUAAACGCUGUGCACCUGUGCUCUCCAGCGCACUGACUUCCUUCUGCAGCCCACGCCUCCCCCGCUCCCAGUGCCCGGCUCCAGGAGGUCCCGCAGAGACUGCGGAGCGCCGCGCCGGAAGCCGCCUCACUGCGAACCAGCCGACGCCCUCAAGCGGGAUUCCCAAUUCCGCACACCCGCGUCCUCACCGCCCGCUGACCCGGUGAUACCUGCGGGCACCGCUCCCAGCGGGGGCUCCGUUCAGUCACACCCAGGCGCCAGAUCCGCCAGGAGCUGCCGGCCUCGCGGGCGGAGGGAGCCGGCGUAGAUAAAAAGUUUUGCGGAAGCCCAUGAGUUCAAUUUUGGCUUGCUGAGUAUGAGAUACUUUGUGAUGUCCAAGAAGCAUUAUCAAAUAGACAUGGAUAGAAGUGUCUGGAGCUUUGAGGGGUCUCGGGCAGAGUGGCAGAAGAAGCACCAACAUCCAAAUUUCCGGCCUCAGUGAAUCAGCAGCUCCAGCAGCAGGGCCUGGGCUGAUGGUGUUGGCAGAGUAAAGUGGGCCAUCUAGUGCUGAAUGGCAGUGAUGUUCUCAUCACAACCAAUGUAUAUGUGUGGUUCUGGCUGCAGGACCAGAAUUACCAUUAUUUCAGUAUUUUUCCUGGUAGCUUAAAUCACACAUGGUCGGCCUCUGUUACUUGCAACUAAGAACCCUAAUCUAUACAUUAUCUUCAUUAUUGUUUUUGGGUGUAUGCAGGAAAUUUUUUCUUUAGAAGCUUUCUGGCCAUUUAUUCCCUCUCCCUCCAUAGCAGGAGAGAUAGCAUGUUUGGGGUUUUGUUUUGUUUUAAGACAGAUAGCAACUUUUGUUAGUGUGAAAAAGUCCCAUCAGCAUCUAUUUUGGUGGAAUGAAUGGGAACAUAAUUCUUUCAACUUUUCAGUUAUUUGUUCAGUUAUGUAUUCACUUAGUGCCUUAAAACAGUAAUUUUAUUUUUCUGGAGAUUCUGUGGUUUCAGAAUUUGGAGUGGGGAUGG